rnacentral:rRNA from 1 species
AAGGUGGAUUUGUGAGUAAUUAUUUAGUAGUUAAAAUAAGUGAAGGGUGGAAUAACAUGUGUACAUAUUGCCCGUCGCUCUCGUUAUUUUGAGAUAAGUCGUAACAUAGUUGGUGAACUGGAAAGUGUAUCUUUUUGG